GGUCAGUGCUCGUGACUUCGAUUCAGAGUUUCGUUCAGGCAAUAACGAGUAUUUAUGAGAUUGUGAUGAUUGUUGGAGGAUUUGAGCAGGCAAGAAGUCUUUUGGAAAUGAUCAUGGAAUUCCUUUGCAUUCUAAUUUUGUUACAUUUUUUUACGAAUCUAGUUUGGAAAUGUAACUCAAUUGAAAAAAUUUUGGAUCGACUAAUCAUGAGCGAAACGAGCGACUUUGAGAUGUUGCAAGACUUGUUU